rnacentral:rRNA from 1 species
UACGUAGGGUGCGAGCGUUAAUCGGAAUUACUGGGCGUAAAGUGUGCGCAGGCGGCUUGGCAAGUCGAGUGUGAAAUCCCCGGGCUUAACUUGGGAAUUGCGCUCGAAACUACCUGGCUAGAGUGUGGCAGAGGAAGGUGGAAUUCCACGUGUAGCGGUGAAAUGCGUAGAGAUGUGGAGGAACACCAGUGGCGAAGGCGACUCUUUGGCCUGUAACUGACACUGAGGCGCGAAAGCGUGGGGAGCAAACAGG